GUGGAUUAGAUACCCGGGUAGUCCACGCCGUAAACGUUGGGCACUAGGUGUGGGAGGCUGUCAACGCCUUCCGUGCCGUAGCUAACGCAUUAAGUGCCCCGCCUGGGGAGUACGGCCGCAAGGCUAAAACUCAAAGGAAUUGACGGGGGCCCGCACAAGCGGCGGAGCAUGUUGCUUAAUUCGAUGCAACGCGAAGAACCUUACCUGGGUUUGACAUGUAGGGAAAAGCCAUAGAGAUAUGGUGUCCUUCGGGGCCCUACACAGGUGGUGCACGGUCGUCGACAACU
rnacentral:rRNA from 1 species